AGGGUUAGGGUUAGGAUUAGGGUUAGGGUUAGGGUUAGGGUUAGGGUUAGGGUUAGGGUUAGGGUUAGGGUUAGGGUUAGGGUCAGGGUCAGGGUUGGGGUUAGGGUUAGGGUUAGGGUUAGGGUUAGGGUUAGGGUUAGGGUUAGGGUUAGGGUUAGGGUUAGGGUUAGGGUCAGGGUCAGGGUUGGGGUUAGGGUUAGGGUUAGGGUUAGGGUUAGGGUUAGGGUUAGGGUUAGGGUUAGGGGUAGGGUUAGGGUAGGGUUAGGGUUA